rnacentral:rRNA from 1 species
CUACUGGGGUAUCUAAUCCUGUUUGCUCCCCACGCUUUCGUACCUCAGUGUCAGUUCCCGUCCAGUUGGCCGCCUACGCCACUGGUGUUCCUCCGAAUAUCUGCGAAUUUCACCUCUACACUCGGAAUUCCGCCAACCUCUCCGGGACUCUAGACAGGCAGUUUCAAAAGCAGUUCCGGGGUUAAGCCCCGGGAUUUCACUUCUGACUUGCUUGUCCACCUACGUACGCUUUACGCCCAGUGAUUCCGAACAACGCUCGCCCCAUGCGUAUUACCGCGGCUGCUGGCAC